AAAAAUAUGUUAAAAACAGGGGGGUUGGCCUAUUCCAUGGCUUCUAGAGAAAAAUAAUGAGCGGUGUCACGGGGUAUGACUAUAUAGGUCUUGUAGAGGAGAAACAGGCGCAUCUUUUGCGCAAGGUAUCGAAGGGCGCUAUGUUCAAAAAUCUGAAACUAGAGCUCAAAAUUAAAAAAAAAAAAAUGUUAAAAACAGGGGGGUUGGCCUAUUCCAUGGCUUCUAGAGAAAAAACAAUGAGGAGUGUCACGGGGUAUGACUAUAUAGGUCUUGUAGAGGAGAAACAGGCGCAUCUUUUUCGCAAGGUAUCGAAGGGCGCUAUGUUCAAAAAUCUGAAACUAGAGCUCAAAAUUAAAAAAAAAAUGUUAAAAAUAGGGGGGUUGGCCAAUUCCAUGGCUUCUAGAGAAAAAUAAUGAGGAGUGUCACGGGGUAUGACUAUAUAGGUCUUGUAGAGGAGAAACAGGCGCAUCUUUUGCGCAAGGUAUCGAAGGGAGCUAUGUUCAAAAAUCUGAAACUAGAGCUCAAAAUUAAAAAAAAAAUGUUAAAAACAGGGGGGUUGGCCUAUUCCAUGGCUUCUAGAGAAAAAUAAUGAGGGGUGUCACGGGAUAUGACUAUAUAGGUCUUGUAGAGGAGAAACAGGCGCAUCUUUUGCGCAAGGUAUCGAAGGGCGCUUUGUUCAAAAAUCUGAAACUAGAGCUCAAAAUUAAAAAAAAAAAAAUGUUAAAAACAAGGGGGUUGGCCUAUUCCAUGGCUUCUAGAGGAAAAUAAUGAGGGGUGUCACGGGAUAUGACUAUAUAGGUCUUGUAGAGGAGAAACAGGCGCAUCUUUUGCGCAAGGUAUCGAAGGGCGCUAUGUUCAAAAAUCUGAAACUAGAGCUCAAAAUUAAAAAAAAAAAAAUGUUAAAAACAGGGGGGUUGGCCUAUUCCAUGGCUUCUAGAGAAAAAUAAUGAGGGGUGUCACGGGAUAUGACUAUAUAGGUCUUGUAGAGGAGAAACAGGCGCAUCUUUUGCGCAAGGUAUCAAAGGGCGCUAUGUUCAAAAAUCUGAAACUAGAGCUCAAAAUCUAAAAAAAAAAAUGUUAAAAACAGGGGGGUUGGCCUAUUCCAUGGCUUCUAGAGAAAAAUAAUGAGGGGUGUCACGGGGUAUGACUAUAUAGGUCUUGUAGAGGAGAAACAGGCGCAUCUUUUGCGCAAGGUAUCGAAGGGCGCUAUGUUCAAAAAUCUGAAACUAGAGCUCAAAAUUAAAAAAAAAAAUGUUAAAAACAGGGGUGUUGGCCUAUUCCAUGGCUUCUAGAGAAAAAUAAUGAGGGGUGUCACGGGGUAUGACUAUAUAGGUCUUGUAGAGGAGAAACAGGUGCAUCUUUUGCGCAAGGUAUCGAAGGGCGCUAUGUUCAAAAAUUUGAAACUAGAGCUCAAAAUUAAAAAAAAAAAUUGUUAAAAAUAGGGGGUUGGCCUAUUCCAUGGCUUCUAGAGGAAAAUAAUGAGGGGUGUCACGGAGUAUGACUAUAUAGGUCUUGUAGAGGAGAAACAGGCGCAUCUUUUGCGCAAGGUAUCGAAGGGCGCUAUGUUCAAAAAUCUGAAACUAGAGCUCAAAAUUAAAAAAAAAAAUGUUAAAAACAGGGGUGUUGGCCUAUUCCAUGGCUUCUAGAGGAAAAUAAUGAGGGGUGUCACGGGAUAUGACUAUAUAGGUCUUGUAGAGGAGAAACAGGCGCAUCUUUUGCGCAAGGUAUCGAAGGGCGCUAUGUUCAAAAAUCUGAAACUAGAGCUCAAAAUCUAAAAAAAAAAAAUGUUAAAAACAGGGGGGUUGGCCUAUUCCAUGGCUUCUAGAGAAAAAUAAUGAGGGGUGUCACGGGGUAUGACUAUAUAGGUCUUGUAGAGGAGAAACAGGCGCAUCUUUUGCGCAAGGUAUCGAAGGGCGCUAUGUUCAAAAAUCUGAAACUAGAGCUCAAAAUUAAAAAAAAAAAUGUUAAAAACAGGGGUGUUGGCCUAUUCCAUGGCUUCUAGAGAAAAAUAAUGAGGGGUGUCACGGGGUAUGACUAUAUAGGUCUUGUAGAGGAGAAACAGGUGCAUCUUUUGCGCAAGGUAUCGAAGGGCGCUAUGUUCAAAAAUCUGAAACUGGAACUCAAAAUUAAAAAAAAAAAUGUUAAAAACAGGGGGUUGGCCUAUUCCAUGGCUUUUAGAGAAAAAUAAUGAUGGGUGUCACGGGGUGUGACUAUAUAGGUCUUGUAGAGGAGAAACAGGCGCAUCUUUUGCGCAAGGUAUCGAAGGGCGCUAUGUUCAAAAAUCUGAAACUAGAGCUCAAAAUUAAAAAAAAAAUGUUAAAAACAGGGGGGUUGGCCUAUUCCAUGGCUUCUAGAGAAAAAUAAUGAGGGGUGUCACGGGAUAUGACUAUAUAGGUCUUGUAGAGGAGAAACAGGCGCAUCUUUUGCGCAAGGUAUCGAAGGUCGCUAUGUUCAAAAAUCUGAAACUAGAGCUCAAAAUUAAAAAAAAAAUGUUAAAAACAGGGGGGUUGGCCUAUUCCAUGGCUUCUAGAGAAAAAUAAUGAGGGGUGUCACGGGGUAUGACUAUAUAGGUCUUGUAGAGAAGAAACAGGCGCAUCUUUUGCGCGAGGUAUCGAAGGGCGCUAUGUUCAAAAAUUUGAAACUAGAGCUCAAAAUUAAAAAAAAAAAUGUUAAAAACAGGGGGGUUGGCCUAUUCCAUGGCUUCUAGAGAAAAAACAAUGAGGAGUGUCACGGGGUAUGACUAUAUAGGUCUUGUAGAGGAGAAACAGGCGCAUCUUUUGCGCAAGGUAUCGAAGGGCGCUAUGUUCAAAAAUCUGAAACUAGAGCUGAAAAUUAAAAAAAAAAGGUUAAAAACAGGGGGGUGGCCUAUUCCAUGGCUUCUAGAGAAAAAUAAUGAGGAGUGUCACGGGGUAUGACUAUAUAGGUCUUGUAGAGGAGAAACAGGCGCAUCUUUUGCGCAAGGUAUCGAAGGGCGCUAUGUUCAGAAAUCUGAAACUAGAGCUGAAAGUUUAAAAAAA